rnacentral:rRNA from 1 species
GUAGGUGGCAAGCGUUGUCCGGAAUUAUUGGGCGUAAAGCGCGCGCAGGCGGUCCUUUAAGUCUGAUGUGAAAGCCCGCGGCUCAACCGUGGAGGGUCAUUGGAAACUGGGGGACUUGAGUACAGAAGAGGAAAGCGGAAUUCCACGUGUAGCGGUGAAAUGCGUAGAGAUGUGGAGGAACACCAGUGGCGAAGGCGGCUUUCUGGUCUGUAACUGACGCUGAGGCGCGAAAGCGUGGGGAGCAAACAGGGAUUAGAUACCCUGGUAGUCCACGCCGUAAACGAUGAGUGCUAAGUGUUAGGGGGUUUCCGCCCCCUUAGUGCUGCAGCUAACGCAUUAAGCACUCCGCCUGGGGAUACGGCCGCAAGGCUG